rnacentral:rRNA from 1 species
GACGAACGCUGGCGGCGUGCUUAACACAUGCAAGUCGAACGAUGAACCCGGAGCUUGCUCCGGUGGAUUAGUGGCGAACGGGUGAGUAACACGUGAGUAACCUGCCCUUGACUCUGGGAUAACUGCGGGAAACUGUAGCUAAUACCGGAUACGACCCUCGGCGGCAUCGCCAGGGGGUGGAAAGAAUUUCGGUCAAGGAUGGACUCGCGGCCUAUCAGCUAGUUGGUGAGGUAACGGCACACCAAGGCGACGACGGGUAGCCGGCCUGAGAGGGUGACCGGCCACUCUGGGACUGAGACACGGCCCAGACUCCUCCGGGAGGCAGCAGUGGGGAAUAUUGCACAAUGGGCGCAAGCCUGAUGCAGCAACGCCGCGUGAGGGAUGACGGCCUUCGGAUUGUAAACCUCUUUCAGUAGGGACGAAGCGAAAGUGACGGUACCUAAAGAAGAAGCACCGGCUAACUACGUGCCAGCAGCCGCCGGUAA